rnacentral:lncRNA from 1 species
UAAACUUAGCACAGAUGAUAGGGUAAUAGAAGGAGUAGGUUGAACAGUCCCAGAACCCUCAACAUUAUAGGUUGAUCCAUCGGCUAUAAUAACAGGAGAAGGUGCUUUAUGAGAUCGAAAGCUAGUAAAAAUAUGAGGAUUACCUGUCAUGUGAUCUGUGGCACCAGAAUUAAUGACCCAUUUAUAUGAAGAGGAAAUAAG